ACAAAAUUGGAGUUCUCUACCACUCAAAAGUUGCAUGAUAAAUUUCAAAAAGCAAGGUUAUAUCUGGUAUUUCAUAAGCUAUUUACACACUGUCCAAUGUUAGAAGAUUUCAAUUUCAAAUUUCAUAUUCUCCCUCUUUUUCUCCCUUUAUAAUCAAUUUUGUGUUUUCUCUCUCUCAAUAUACUCAUAUUCAUGUUCUAUCUUCUCUUUCAUUUUUUCUUUUCUUCUGCAUAUUUUUGUUCUUCUCAUGUUCAAUAUACUCAUAAUGUUUGUUCUUCUCAUUUUGCAGACAAAGAAGAAUAAAAGAAAAUGAAAUCUUCACAAAGGAUACAUAAAGAUACAAACAAAAAUGAGAAGAAAACAAGACACAGAGAAGUGGUGAGAAGAAAUCAUGACUAAAAGAAAGAGAUGAAAUAACUGGAAUACAAACUCAGCAGGGCGGCGGUGCGAUUUCAGGCACGGUGGAUGCAAAUUCCGGUGCGGUGGUUGCCGGAAAAAGGUGGACCGAUUCUAAUUUUUUUGGUUGGGUUUUGUAAAGGAACAAGAGAGGAGUUUAGUGGUUGUUGUGUCAUGUUCAAAGGUGGACAGUGGACUAUAAAAAUAACAAUUUUCAUAGACGGUUUUGUAGAGAAAGAGAAGAGUAUUCAUAUGGUGAUGAUUUUUAUAAAAAUAGACUAUGGUAAUCAAGAUCUAGCAACAAAGUGACGGUUGAAUGUAUGAUAGAAAGGGAGAAGAAAUUGAACACAUUGGUGUCAAGAUCUUGAAAUAAAAAGGUCUAUAAAGAGCUUACAAUUACAUGAUCAAUGUUACAAAUCCGACCCAUAAAUGUUACAGAUCCGGCGGCUAGGGUUUGAGUUGUGGAUGAAAAGCUUAGAAAGUAAAAAAUGGGUGGUGGUGGUGUGGUUUACUGAUUUACAGAGAUGAGAGACAAAGAUUUGACAAGAAAAUAAUAAUAAUAAGA